rnacentral:rRNA from 1 species
UUCCGUAGGUGAACCUGCGGAGGGAUCAUUACCGAGUGAGGGCGUCGACGCCCGACCUCCAACCCUUUGUCGAUGAAACCCCUGUUGCCUCGGGGGUGACCCGGCCUUCGGGCGUCGGGGCCCCCGAUGGACCAUCAAACUCUGCAUCUCUGCGUCGGAGUCUCGAGGAAAUCGAAUCAAAACUUUCAACAACGGAUCUCUUGGUUCUGGCAUCGAUGAAGAACGCAGCGAAACGCGAUAAGUAAUGUGAAUUGCAGAAUUCAGUGAAUCAUCGAAUCUUUGAACGCACAUUGCGCCCUUUGGUAUUCCGAGGGGCAUGCCCGUUCGAGCGUCAUUACACCAAUCAAGCCCGGCUUGGUGCUGGGUCGCGGGGUGACCCGGACCUCAAAAGCGUCGGCUGGAGGACCCGGAUCUCAGCGUUGUGGCACGAUCAAUCCGCUGGCGAGAAGGGGCUUUCACGCCGGGAAAUGUCCUUUUAGGUUGACCUCGGAUCGGGUAGGGAUACCCGCUGAACUUAAGCAUAUCAAUAAGCGGAGGA